UCUGAAUCCUAGCCCAACCCUUCAGCAUAUCUACUACUCUUCCCAGCUUGGUGUUAUAUGCAAAACUGCUGACAGUGCACUUCAUCCCAUCUUCCAGGUUAUUGAUGAAGACACUGAACAAAAGCGGCCCUAGGACCGACCCCUGAAGCAUUCCACUUGAUACCGGAUGCCAACUGGACAUCGAGCAAUUGACUACUAUUCUCUGAGCCUAAUGAUCCAGCCAGUUUUCUUUCUACCUUACAGUCCAUUCAUCCAGUCCAGACUUCCUUAGCUUGCCUGCAAGAAUGUUGUAGGAGACUGUAUACUAAAAUUGAGGUACACCAUAUCCACUGGUGUCUCCGCAUCCACAGAGCCAGUCACCUUGUCAUAGAAGGCAACCAGGUUGGUCAGGCAUGACUUGCCCUUGGUGAAUCCAU